AUUGAACGCUGGCGGAAUGCUUUACACAUGCAAGUCGAACGGCAGCACGGGGGCAACCCUGGUGGCGAGUGGCGAACGGGUGAGUAAUACAUCGGAACGUGCCCAGUCGUGGGGGAUAACGUAGCGAAAGCUACGCUAAUACCGCAUACGAUCUACGGAUGAAAGCGGGGGAUCGCAGGACCUCGCGCGAUUGGAGCGGCCGAUGGCAGAUUAGGUAGUUGGUGGGGUAAAGGCUCACCAAGCCUUCGAUCUGUAGCUGGUCUGAGAGGACGACCAGCCACACUGGGACUGAGACACGGCCCAGACUCCUACGGGAGGCAGCAGUGGGGAAUUUUGGACAAUGGGCGAAAGCCUGAUCCAGCCAUUCCGCGUGCAGGAUGAAGGCCCUCGGGUUGUAAACUGCUUUUGUACGGAACGAAACGGCCUUUUCUAAUACAGAGGGCUAAUGACGGUACCGUAAGAAUAAGCACCGGCUAACUACGUGCCAGCAGCCGCGGUAAAGUCG
rnacentral:rRNA from 1 species